GCACUCACUUUGGCAGCACAUAUACUAAAAUUGGAACGAUACAGAGAAGAUUAGUAUGGCCCCUGUGCAAGGAUGACAUGCAAAUUCAUGAAACAUUCCAUAUUUUU
ensembl:snRNA U6 U6 spliceosomal RNA